rnacentral:rRNA from 1 species
CCUACGGGUGGCAGCAGUGGGGAAUAUUGCACAAUGGGCGAAAGCCUGAUGCAGCAACGCCGCGUGAAGGAAGAAGGGUUUCGGCUCGUAAACUUCUAUCAACAGGGACGAAAGAAAUGACGGUACCUGCCUCAGAAGCUGCGGCUACCUACGGGCCAGCAGCCGCGGUAAUACGUAGGGGGAAAGCGUUAACCGGAAUUACUGGGUGUAAAGGGCGAGUAGGCGGCAUGGUAAGCCAGAUGUGAAAGCCUUGGGCUUAACCCGAGAAUUGCAUUUGGUACUAUCAAGCUAGAGUACAGGAGAGGAAAGCAGAAUUCCUAGUGUAGCGGUGAAAUGCGUAGAUAUUAGGAAGAACACCAGUGGCGAAGGCGGCUUUCUGGACUGAAACUGACGCUGAGGCACGAAAGCGUGGGGAGCGAACAGGAUUAGAUACCCUUGUAGUC